GAAAUUGCUAACUUAAGCAUUUUUCAAUUUGCCUUAAAAAAUUGAAAAAUGAAAAAUGCUCUAACGUGGAGCAUUUUUCAAU
rnacentral:sRNA from 1 species